rnacentral:rRNA from 1 species
ACACAUGCAAGUCGAGCGGAAACGAUGAUAGCUUGCUAUCAGGCGUCGAGCGGCGGACGGGUGAGUAAUACUUAGGAAUCUACCUAGUAGUGGGGGAUAGCACGGGGAAACUCGUAUUAAUACCGCAUACGACCUACGGGAGAAAGGGGGCAGUUUACUGCUCUCGCUAUUAGAUGAGCCUAAGUCGGAUUAGCUAGAUGGUGGGGUAAAGGCCUACCAUGGCGACGAUCUGUAGCUGGUCUGAGAGGAUGAUCAGCCACACCGGGACUGAGACACGGCCCGGACUCCUACGGGAGGCAGCAGUGGGGAAUAUUGGACAAUGGGGGAAACCCUGAUCCAGCCAUGCCGCGUGUGUGAAGAAGGCCUUUUGGUUGUAAAGCACUUUAAGCAGUGAAGAAGACUCCGUGGUUAAUACCCACGGACGAUGACAUUAGCUGCAGAAUAAGCACCGGCUAACUCUGUGCCAGCAGCCGCGGUAAUACAGAGGGUGCAAGCGUUAAUCGGAAUUACUGGGCGUAAAGGGAGCGUAGGUGGCUCGAUAAGUCAGAUGUGAAAUCCCCGGGCUCAACCUGGGAACUGCAUCUGAUACUGUUGAGCUAGAGUAUGUGAGAGGAAGGUAGAAUUCCAGGUGUAGCGGUGAAAUGCGUAGAGAUCUGGAGGAAUACCGAUGGCGAAGGCAGCCUUCUGGCAUAAUACUGACACUGAGGCUCGAAAGCGUGGGUAGCAAACAGGAUUAGAUACCCUGGUAGUCCACGCCGUAAACGAUGUCUACUAGUCGUUGGGUCCCUUGAGGACUUAGUGACGCAGCUAACGCAAUAAGUAGACCGCCUGGGGAGUACGGCCGCAAGGUUAAAACUCAAAUGAAUUGACGGGGGCCCGCACAAGCGGUGGAGCAUGUGGUUUAAUUCGAUGCAACGCGAAGAACCUUACCUGGUCUUGACAUAUCUAGAAUCCUGCAGAGAUGCGGGAGUGCCUUCGGGAAUUAGAAUACAGGUGCUGCAUGGCUGUCGUCAGCUCGUGUCGUGAGAUGUUGGGUUAAGUCCCGCAACGAGCGCAACCCUUGUCCUUAGUUACCAGCGGGUUAAGCCGGGAACUCUAAGGAUACUGCCAGUGACAAACUGGAGGAAGGCGGGGACGACGUCAAGUCAUCAUGGCCCUUACGACCAGGGCUACACACGUGCUACAAUGGUAGGUACAGAGGGCAGCUACACAGCGAUGUGAUGCGAAUCUCAAAAAGCCUAUCGUAGUCCAGAUUGGAGUCUGCAACUCGACUCCAUGAAGUAGGAAUCGCUAGUAAUCGCGGAUCAGAAUGCCGCGGUGAAUACGUUCCCGGGCCUUGUACACACCGCCCGUCACACCAUGGGAGUUGAUUGCACCAGAAGUGGAUAGCUUAACCUUCGGGGAGGCGUUCACCA